UACGUAGGGUGCGAGCGUUACUCGGAAUUACUGGGCGUAAAGCGUGCGCAGGCGGCUAUUUAAGCUUGCUGUGAAAGCCCCGGGCUUAACCUGGGAACUGCAGUGAGGACUGGAUGGCUGGAGUGUGGCAGAGGGGGGUGGAAUUCCACGUGUAGCAGUGAAAUGCGUAGAGAUGUGGAGGAACACCGAUGGCGAAGGCAGCCCCCUGGGCUAACACUGACGCUCAGGCACGAAAGCGUGGGGAGCAAACAGG
rnacentral:rRNA from 1 species